CGUCAGUUUUUUAAAAGGCCGACGCAUUUGGGUGAAGUAUUUACGUCAGUUUUUUAAAACAUCCGACGCAAUUGGCUAAAAAAAAUCAGCUCAGCAGAUUCUUAUCUUAUCCUUUAGCAUUUUCCUACGUUAGGGAUAUUUCCAUAGCUACUCUCUCACUACGUACUACUCUCUCACUACUCUCAUUGUCACUAAACCCAUACUAUUCCUAAGCUUUUUCCAUCCAUGUCGAGCAAUUUCCGGCAAAAAAAACCCAGAUUUCGAGCAAUUUCCGACAAAAAAAAACCCAGAUUUCGAGCAAGUUCAAGCUCUUUCCAUCCAUUUCAAGCAAUUUUCCAGCAAAAAACCCCAGAUUUCGAGCAAUUUCCGGCAAAAAACCCAGAUUUCGAGCAAAUUCAGGCUCUUUCCAUCCAUUUCAAGCAAAUUCGAAACACAAAACCCAGAUUUCGAGCAAGUUCAAGCUCUUUCCAUCCAUUUCAAGCAAAUUCGAAACACAAAACCCAGAUUUCGAGUUUUAAAAACCUAAAAAUUUUGAACAUUCGAGCUUUAAAAACCCAGAAAAUUUGAAACCCACAAAACCGAAACCCAGAAAUUUCGAGUUUUCGAGCAGAUUUAGAGAAGAUUCGAGCUGUUUUUCAAGUUUCCAGCAAAUUACAUUAUAUUUUCGAGCAUAUUCGAGCGGUUUUUGAAGAUAACAUUAUUUUUUCGAGCAGAUGCUGAGGAUGCUACCUGAGCUCCUGUUGUUACCUGCUGAUGCAUAUCUUCUGUUCUGCCUGCUCGCUGGUGCUGCAUCUGCUGAGCUGAAGACCUGCUGCCACCUGCUGACCUCUGCUCGUGCCUGCUGUUUUUGUUGCUGUUUUGGUGCUGCUGGCUCCCCUGCUUGAUCUUUUUUGCUCGUUGCUUGCUGCCUGCUGUGCUGCUGCGGCCCUCUGUUUAUGCUGCUGCUGCCCUCUGCUUGUGCUGCUGCUGCCAUUUGCUCUGCCUGCUGCUUUGUUGUGCUCCUGCUGCAUGGUCUUUGAUGACUAGCUGUUUUGCUUUUGGUGCUGCCCCUUUGUUCUUUUACUUGCUUUACUUGGUCAUGCUGCACAAAGAACACUACUUCAUCAACAACAAUAGAGCUUGCUGUACUUGUAAACAAGUCAGCACCAUGAAGCCUGAUGUACCUAUAAAAAAAACAAAAAUUUGUUAAUGAACAUUCUUUUUCAAUAAAAAUAAAAUCUAUUUUUUAAAAGUUACAUUUCUGAAAAUAGAAUGUUCAUUCAUUAGUUCAUCUGUUGAUUAUUAAAUCUAUUUGUUCAUUUUUUUAGCUGUGAAAGAGAAUCAACUAUUUGUUCAUUUUUUUUUUUUUGCGUCGGACAUUAACAAAAAUCCGACGCAAAUCGGCCUUUUUUCCAAUUUUUUUGUUUUUUUGUUUUUUUUUUUUUAUUUUUGGUUAUUUGCGUCGGUGUUCAAGUAAACUCCGACGCAAAUGACCCUUAUUUGCGUCGAACAAUUUGUUCGAUGCAAAUAAGUUUUUCUCAUUUGCGUCUCCGCCGGUUGCGUCGGCUGGAAGUUCGACGCAAAUGAGCAUUUCUCUACUAGUGAUU